GUUUUAAUAAACCCAGCCUUAUAUAUUGCUUGUGAAAUUUAAAUAUUUUGCAAAAUGACUUAUAAAUUAAAAGUUAAAUAUUAAAUUGUGCCUUUUGUCUCAGGAGUUGAUAAAUUUUAGUAAUACGGGUUUUCGAUAGAAAAAAGAUUUAUUUUGUUAUUAUUUAUUAUAUUAUAAUAUAAUAUUAAAUAAUAAAAUAGUUGUAAUAUGCUUUUCACUUUUUUAGGUAUUUAAUUUCAUACAGCCAAGGCUACCUUUCAGCCUUUAAAGGCUCAGAAAAAUAUGGUAAAGCUUAUUUUUAAUUUAUAAAUCCAAAUUGAUUGAAAGAUUAAUAAAAAUUUAAUUUUUUAUUUUUAAAAAUUGUUACAAAACCCCUUAUUUAAAUAUUAAUUUAAAAUAUUUUAAAAAUUCGUGAAAUACGCGUAAAUGUUUUAAGCCAAGCUUUAAUGUUAACAUUAAUAAAAUAAUUAUAUUAAAUAAUUUUAGUGUAAAAUAAACAUAUAAACUCGGCACAAGAAUUUUAAAUGUUUAUCAAAAACAUUGCUUUAAGGGUGUAUUUUAAGCAUAGCCUGCUCAAUGAUUUAAAUAGCUGGGACCACUAAGGUAGCAUAAUCAUUAGGGUUUUAAUUAAAUUCUGGCAUGAAUGGCUAAAUAAAAUUUCUUCUUUAUUUAUUUAUUUAGAAAAUUUAAUAUUUCAAUAAGAAUUUUGAAAAAUCUAAAAAAGACAAGAAGACCCUCAAAAUUUUAUUAAUUGAAAUUUUAUCAAGAUUAAUUUCUUUGGGGCAAAGAUGAUAUUAAUUUAAAAUAAUUAUAAAUUUUAGAUCUUAUUAAAUGCACAGAUGUAAUUACUUAAGGGAUAACAGCAUAAUUUUAUUUUAAGACCUUAUUAUAAAUAAAGCUUAUGACCUCGAUGUUGGAUUAAAAUAAUAGUUAAGCAUAAAUAAUUAUAUUUUAGGUCUGUUCGACCUAUUAAUUUUACAUGAUCUGAGUUCAAACCGCCGUAAGGCAGGUUGGUUUAUAUCUUUUUAAAAAAUUAAUCCCUACAGUACGAAAGGGCCUAGGGAGUUUUAUUAAAUUUUUUAGUGUAAAUUAACAUAUCAAAUUUU
rnacentral:rRNA from 1 species